rnacentral:tmRNA from 1 species
GGGGGCGUACUGGCUUCGACUCAUCGUUUGAAGCGCAGGCGGCAUGUCGAGGACGGUUCGUUGGCCUCGUUAAAAACCGAACCAAAACAAAUAAACGCAGAUCACCAAGAUCUCGCUCUCGCGGCUUAAUUGACCGUGACGUUUGGAGUUGGACGCCUGCUACGGCGCCAAACGUGGACAGCAGGCUAAUCAAACGGCGGAGCGACCGCGCCGGAUGGUGAAGGAAAUUCGUGGACGCUCGGGAGCCGGCAGUGUGCCGGCGCAAGGUUCGGCUCCUUAAAACUUAUCACCGGAUAAACAUGUAGAUGUUUGCGUGAAUAGCGACGAGGACAGGGGUUCAACUCCCCUCGCCUCCAGCC